CGACGACGUUGAUAGGUCGGGUGUGUAAGUGUAGCGAUACAUUGAGCUAACCGAUACUAAUGAACCGUGAGGCUUAACCUUACAACGCCGAAG
rnacentral:rRNA from 1 species